UGAACCCUCACAUUCAGGAACUAAAGAUACGAUGAGACCGCAUCACACAGAAGCAGACCGUUUGUUCAUUUCAGUUUAUUUGUAUUUUUCCAAGUACAUAUCAAUCUGUACAUCAGCACUCGCUCACGGCUGCUUUCACCGCAACACCGUCACUUUAUUAGACUGAUCAAAAAACAAAGACAACGACAGUCUUCCUCCGUCCUGAGGAGCAAACCGUCAAAAAGAGGAGGAAGCGUGACCUCGAGUCACGUGACCAGAUCACAUGACAUCAGCGUCACGACACGCAAAUCAUGAAGAAAACCAGAGAAAUGAAAUGAAAUCAGGCACCUUCUGCGUUUAAAACCAGUCAUUAUCAAUUCAUGGUCUGACAGGAAGAAGCACGUGAUGAAGAGUGAAGAGGCUCAGAAACGUCCAUCAGUCCUCACAGAAGAAAGCUUGAGCGGCCCAACUCCUCACGCCCUUUCACU